rnacentral:rRNA from 1 species
CCUACGGAGGCUGCAGUGGGGAAUAUUGGACAAUGGGCGAAAGCCUGAUCCAGCCAUGCCGCGUGUGUGAAGAAGGCCUUCGGGUUGUAAAGCACUUUCAGUGGGGAAGAAAGCCUUGGGGCUAAUACCCUCGAGGAAGGACAUCACCCACAGAAGAAGCACCGGCUAACUCCGUGCCAGCAGCCGCGGUAAUACGGAGGGUGCGAGCGUUAAUCGGAAUUACUGGGCGUAAAGCGCGCGUAGGCGGUCUGAUAAGCCGGUUGUGAAAGCCCCGGGCUCAACCUGGGAACGGCAUCCGGAACUGUCAGGCUGGAGUGCAGGAGAGGAAGGUAGAAUUCCCGGUGUAGCGGUGAAAUGCGUAGAGAUCGGGAGGAAUACCAGUGGCGAAGGCGGCCUUCUGGACUGACACUGACGCUGAGGUGCGAAAGCGUGGGUAGCAAACAGGAUUAGAUACCCGUGUAGUC